AGAGUUUGAUCAUGGCUCAGAAUCAACGCUGGCGGCGCGCCUAACACAUGCAAGUCGAACGAGAAAGGGGAGCAAUCCCUGAGUAAAGUGGCGUACGGGUGAGUAACACGUGGGUAAUCUGCCUCUUAGUGGGGAAUAACCCUGGGAAACCGGGGCUAAUACCGCAUAAGCCCGAGAGGGGAAACGCGAAAGCGGCUGAGAGAGGAGCCCGCGGCCGAUUAGCUAGUUGGUAGGGUAAAGGCCUACCAAGGCAGAGAUCGGUAGCCGGCCUGAGAGGGCACACGGCCACACUGGCACUGAAACACGGGCCAGACUCCUACGGGAGGCAGCAGUGGGGAAUCUUGCACAAUGGGGGAAACCCUGAUGCAGCGACGCCGCGUGAGCGAUGAAGCCCUUCGGGGUGUAAAGCUCUUUCGGCAGGGAAGAUGAUGACGGUACCUGCAGAAGCAGCUGCGGCUAACUACGUGCCAGCAGCCGCGGUAAUACGUAGGCAGCAAGCGUUGUUCGGAGUUACUGGGCGUAAAGGGUGUGUAGGCGGUUUGGUAAGUCUGGUGUGAAAUCUCCCGGCUCAACUGGGAGGGUGCGCCGGAAACUGCCGGACUCGAGUGCGGGAGAGGAGAGUGGAAUUCCUGGUGUAGCGGUGAAAUGCGUAGAUAUCAGGAGGAACACCGGUGGUGUAGACGGCUCUCUGGACCGUAACUGACGCUGAAACACGAAAGCGUGGGUAGCAAACAGGAUUAGAUACCCUGGUAGUCCACGCCCUAAACGAUGCAUAUUUGGUGUGGGUCAUUCAGUUGAUCCGUGCCGGAGCUAACGCGUUAAAUAUGCCGCCUGGGGAGUACAGUCGCAAGGCUGAAACUCAAAGGAAUUGACGGGGCCCGCACAAGCGGUGGAGCAUGUGGUUCAAUUCGACGCAACGCGAAGAACCUUACCUGGGCCUCGAACGG
rnacentral:rRNA from 1 species